rnacentral:lncRNA from 1 species
GGCAGACUCCUGUGCUAACAGGUUAGAUGGAGGUUUCCAAUGGUGCCUGCCAGCAUGUCUGUGAGCAUGGCUGAAUUAGAUCACAAUAAUGGCUGCUGCCAAUGUCACAGUUCCUGGGGGCCCACCCACCUCCUGCCUCCCCAGGGAUCAUUUAAGAAAAUGAACUCAUAAUAACAUAUGGUAGCUGACUUCAGUAUGGAUUUUCCACUGCAUUGAUCAACUCAGUGAAAUUCUCUUACAUAAAUACAAAUGUUCACAAGACAAAGAUAUCCGUCCAGCAUGGAUGUUGUUCAGAAAGAGGAAAGGAAAAUCCUGCUUUCCACUUGGUGUCGGCUGUAUGCACUUCUCUCAGUCCUCUUGGACGCCGUUGGAUCGCAAUCCAUAGCAUAUUUUACAAAUGAAGAGCAUACGUAAAGAGAGAAGUCUAACAGAUGGCUCCGGGAAAUGCGUAAUAAAUGAAAAGAAACAACAGUGCGCCUUACUAAAACUGAGCAAAGCAGCCUUGGAGGGUGUUGCUGUUUGCCGCAGUCUGAGGACCUGAAGCACAGCUCUUUGCAGCAGACGGAUGGAGUGAUAAAUGGCUGAGCAAAUGCAAAGGCCAUGGGAGAAAUACUCUGAACGUUCUCAUGAGAUAUAUUGUAUUUUAGUUUUUUAGACCUUUCUUAAGUCUAAGGAAUGAAAAAUAUAAUACGCCACAGUCACCAACACAUUUAAAAGACAAGAAAUCGUGUCUAACAAAACAAUUUUUAAAAUGCUGUAGAUCCUUUUGAAGGAAACAGCACUGAACCCAGUUGAAGGUGAAGAUGAUAGAUGUAUGACAUUAGAUUUUUGGCAUUGAAAUUAAGGAAUACAAUAAAAUCAAUAUUGAGAAAUGAUAAGAAAGCAAAGGACAGACAAAGGCCAGAACCUCCUAAACAAUUUUCGUCAAAGC